CUGUCACCAGCGCUAAGCUAAAGGCGGCUAACGUUCGACGUCAUCACCUUGAGUCUCAUCUGGGAACUUGUUAGCAACUGCCUUUUUUCAAUUGGGGGUUUUACUGAUAUUACAGCACAGGCUUGUAACCAAAGAAAAACAGCCUCUCUGAAUUUCAGGGACAAGAGAAGGAAGCGACAACAAGACACACAAAGACUAGUUUCACAGUGACGACGUCGAACAUCACCGAAGAUUCACAGCCAGAAUUAUUCUGUCUCCACAUAGAUGUGAGAAAGCAUCAGCAAACACGACGGAGGUUUUGUCCGCAGUGAACUCCCCCUGCUAGAGGUCAAGGGUAAAGUUUGGAAGGAGCAAGUUGUUAAAGCUUUGAAGGAAUGGAGGGACAGAGAAAGGCCUGACCAAGGUUAAAGUUAAUCAAGAGAUCUUCCUGUGAAGCCUCUCCGAGAUUCCCUGUGCAGAUAGAAGGAGGCAAUGAAAGGCCCUAAGUGAAAUACAGAGGAUGCACUUUGAGGGACCCAGGAUGCAUUCUGGGAGGCGCUGUGGCUCGUUGGUCUCUGUGUACAGUGACUCCGUGAUAUUAAAGGUUCAAGUGAAGCUCAUCACAUCUUCAGCGCUUCAUUUCCCUCCGUCUCAUCUUCCUCGCCACUCUCCGCCGGAGCAGAAACACCCUUUGCAGAUAUCUGGGGAUAUUACGGAGAAAAUCGGGUGGAAAUUAAAUUGUUGAGUUUUCCCAUGAUGACAUUUAAAGUGAAUCUAAAGGAAUACUUAUGGUAUGAUGUUUCCUCCCAACACUGCCUGUGUUUUUCUAUCUAUAAAUAUAGAGUGUCCAGUACAUUCUUAAAGGGAAAUAAUGAAGCUUUUAUCUGAAAGAAACAUUGUCUUUAUGUUCCUACAGAAGGUGAACUUCCAGUGUAUCUCAACCCUUUUCCAAGAUUUUGUCCACAUUUCAAAACGAACAACAAAUAAAGACAGAAUACCAUGAAGGUUUUUGCCGGUUUAAUCAAGUAUUUCAAAUCAGCUCCACCUUUAUUUACACUUC